GGAAGGUGCAAGCGUUAAUCGGAAUUACUGGGCGUAAAGCGCGCGUAGGCGGCUAGAUAAGUCGGGUGUGAAAGCCCUGGGCUCAACCUGGGAACUGCAUUCGAUACUGUCUAGCUAGAGUGUGGUAGAGGGAGGCGGAAUUCCGCAUGUAGCGGUGAAAUGCGUAGAGAUGCGGAGGAACACCAAUGGCGAAGGCAGCCUUCUGGACCAACACUGACGCUGAGGCGCGAAAGCGUGGGGGGAGCAAACAGGAUUAGAUACCCUGGUAGUCCACGCCCGUAAACGAUGUCAACUAGCCGUUGGGAGCAUUUUGGCUCUUGGUGGCGCAGCUAACGCGAUAAGUUGACCGCCUGGGGAGUACGGUCGCAAGAUUA
rnacentral:rRNA from 1 species